UUUAGACAUCUUAAUUGCAGCUUCAAAACUGACAGCUGUCAGAUAGCAGGCAAUUUAAAAUGAAAUAUCUCAUUGAAAAUCCCAUUUAAAUAAUCCUUUAGAUUUCGACGAUAGACUGAAGACAAUAUCCUCCAGAAAAACGUAUAUCUUUCAAUAGAUGAGCAUGCGAGCGGAGCUGCGGGUGAGAGCAAGUUAAUAAAAUAAAGCUACAAGUUACUGACGCAAUCUAUUCGGCCAUGAAGACCAAAUUGUUCAACAAACAUGAGAACGAAGAUGUGAAACAGAUUGUUGUUUGCACUGGAGUUGAUGAAAGAACUCACUCGAAUUAGAAUUACUGAAAAAUAAAUGAAUACCAUUUU